rnacentral:lncRNA from 1 species
UGCUUUUUCCAUUACUGAAAUUGUUGGUUCCAUGAUGACCAGACCUGAGUUGCCAUGGAUAAAUUUUAGAUUUGUCCUUUUACUUUAGUCACCAUGACCUGAUGGACUUCCAUCUGCUCUAGCUUCACUACUAAGAAAGCUUUCACUGUGAGUUAUUUGACCUUUUGUUGGUUCUUUGCAGUGACAUUGUUCAUAUGGCAAGUUACCUUUUGUUGGUUCUUUGCAGUGACAUUGUUCAUAUGGCAAGUUACGCUCCACUGUUUGUAAAUGACAACGACAG